GACGAACGCUGGCGGCGUGCUUAACACAUGCAAGUCGAACGGAAAGGCCCUGCUUUUGUGGGGUGCUCGAGUGGCGAACGGGUGAGAAACACGUGAGUAACCUGCCCUUGACUUUGGGAUAACUUCAGGAAACUGGGGCUAAUACCGGAUAGGAGCUCCUGCUGCAUGGUGGGGGUUGGAAAGUUUCGGCGGUUGGGGAUGGACUCGCGGCUUAUCAGCUUGUUGGUGGGGUAGUGGCUUACCAAGGCUUUGACGGGUAGCCGGCCUGAGAGGGUGACCGGCCCAAUGGGGACUGCGAUACGGCCAAAACUCUAUCGGGGGGAAGGGGUGGGGAAUUUUGCACAAUGGGGGGAAGCCUGUGGCAGAAACCCCGCGGGCGGGAUGACGCCUUUGGGGUUUAAAACCGCUUUCGCCUGUGACGAAGCGUGGGUGCAGGAAAUGGGUAAAGAAGCACCGCAUAACCACGU
rnacentral:rRNA from 1 species